rnacentral:rRNA from 1 species
CCAUGCAUGUCUCAGUACUAACCGCUUUAAGGCGAAACCGCGAAUGGCUCAUUAAAUCAGUUAUGGUUCCUUGGAUCUUACCCACACUUACAUGGAUAACUGUGGUAAUUCUAGAGCUAAUACAUGAACCUCGUGCCCCGACCAGUGAUGGGAGGGGUGCUUUUAUUAGAACAAAACCAAUCGGUCGGCUCGUCCGUCCGUUGCCUUGGUGACUCUGAAUAACUUUUGGCUGAUCGCACGGUCCUGGCACCGGCGACGCAUCUUUCAAAUGUCUGCCUUAUCAACUUUCGAUGGUAGGUUCUGCGCCUACCAUGGUUGUAACGGGUGACGGGGAAUCAGGGUUCGAUCCCGGAGAGGGAGCCUGAGAAACGGCUACCACAUCCAAGGAAGGCAGCAGGCGCGCAAAUUACCCACUCCCGGAACGGGGAGGUAGUGACGAAAAAUAACGAUACGGGACUCAUCCGAGGCCCCGUAAUCGGAAUGAGAACACUUUAAAUCCUUUAACGAGGAUCUAUUGGAGGGCAAGUCUGGUGCCAGCAGCCGCGGUAAUUCCAGCUCCAAUAGCGUAUAUUAAAGUUGUUGCGGUUAAAAAGCUCGUAGUCGGAGGUGUGUCUCGGACGGUCGGUUCGCCGCUUGUCGGUGCUCAACUGGCCGGUCCGGACGUCCUGCCGGUGGGGCCGCGAGGCCCCGUCAUCCUUCUUUGGUCCUCUUCACCGAGUGCCUUGGUGGGCCGGCACGUUUACUUUGAACAAAUUAGAGUGCUCAAAGCAGGCCGUUGGUCGCCUGAAUACUGUGUGCAUGGAAUAAUGGAAUAGGACCUCGGUUCCAUUUUGUUGGUUUUCAGAACUCGAGGUAAUGAUUAAUAGGGACGGACGGGGGCAUUCGUAUUGCGACGUUAGAGGUGAAAU